rnacentral:rRNA from 1 species
AUGGAAACCAAGAGUAUUGCAGUUGUACUCUUCCUCCUCGCUGCCCUUCUUUGCCACGUGCGCACAGGUGGUGCCCAGCGAUCUUGCGACAAAUCCGACAUAACUGUCGCUGCGGACUGGACGGGGUUCUACGCCUUCGUCGGGACAGUCCAGAGGCAGCCGCUCUACGAAUUGGAGGUCGGGACGUCGUGCUCGUGCCCGAUGAAAGACGUGCGCAUCUCGUGCGGCGGCCUCGAGAACAGCAUGGAGCCGCUAGACGCGAGCGAGGUGGAGCUGCACGAUGGGAUGUGUGUCCUCAAGCAGCCCGUCGUCAGGGGCUCGCCGGUCAUCUUCACAUACUCCUCGGAUGUGCCGGUGAACUUCCGCGUGAUUAAUGCUACCCCUUAUUGCUAA